rnacentral:sRNA from 1 species
AGACCGACCUGGAAACAACUCGAGACGAAGAAAGGAGAGAAAAAAGGGUUAGAGGACGAAAGUAGAAAGCACUAAUAGAAAAAGGUACCAAAAAAGAUCUAUUAGACCACCAAGAUCAAAAGAGAAAAUUGAUUAAGGAGCUGCGAAAAAAAGACUCAACGUAGACACUUUCGAACUCGAACUAAACA